rnacentral:rRNA from 1 species
UAGGGAAUCUUCCACAAUGGACGCAAGUCUGAUGGAGCAACGGCCGCGUGAGUGAAGAAGGUUUUCGGACCGUAAAGCUCUGUUGUUGGUGAAGAAGGAUAGAGGUAGUAACUGGCCUUUAUUUGACGGUAAUCAACCAGAAAGUCACGGCUAACUACGUGCCAGCAGCCGCGGUAAUCGUAGGUGGCAAGCGUUGUCCGGAUUUAUUGGGCGUAAAGCGAGCGCAGGCGGAAGAAUAAGUCUGAUGUGAAAGCCCUCGGCUUAACCGAGGAAUUGCAUCGGAAACUGUUUUUCUUGAGUGCAGAAGAGGAGAGUAGAACUCCAUGUGUAGCGGUGGAAUGCGUAGAUAUAUGGAAGAAUACCAGUGGCGAAGGCGGCUCUCUGGUCUGCAACUGACGCUGAGGCUCGAAAGCAUGGGUAGCGAACAGGAUUAGAUACCCUUGGUAGUCCAUGCCGUAAACGAUGAGUGCUAAGUGUUGGGAGGCUUCCGCCUCUCAGUGCUGCAGCUAACGCAUUAAGCACUCCGCCUGGGGGAGUACGACCGCAAGGUUGAAAC